rnacentral:rRNA from 1 species
UCGAGAAAUCGGCGCUAAUACCUCAUAAUGCAGCGGAUUCCGCAUGGAUAUGUUGUUAAAGGUUUAUCGCCUUGGGAUAGGCUUGCGUCUGAUUAGCUAGUUGGUGUGGUAACGGCACACCAAGGCUACGAUCAGUAACUGGUCUGAGAGGAUGAUCAGUCACACUGGAACUGAGACACGGUCCAGACUCCUACGGGAGGCAGCAGUGAGGAAUAUUGGGCAAUGCUCGAAAGAGUGACCCAGCAACGCCGCGUGGAGGAUGAAGGUAUUCUAUAUCGUAAACUCCUGUGAGAGCAGACGAAAGACAGAUUAUUAAUCUGGAUGACUGUAUGCUCAGAGGAAGCCCCGGCUAACUACGUG